AGUGAACGCUGGCGGUAGGCCUAACACAUGCAAGUCGAACGGCAGCACAGUAAGAUCUUGCUCUUACGGGUGGCGAGUGGCGGACGGGUGAGGUAUACAUCGUACUCUUCUUUUUCGUGGGGGAUAACGUAGGGAAACUUACGCUAAUACCGCAUACGACCUACGGUUGAAAGCAGUGGAUCUUCGGACCUUGCGCGUUUGUAUGAGCCGAUGUCGGAUUAGCUAGUUGGCGGGGUAAAGGCCCACCAAGGCGACGAUCCGUAGCUGGUCUGAGAGGAUGAGCAGCCACACUGGAACUGAGACACGGUCCAGAGUCCUACGGGAGGCAGCAGUGGGGAAUAUUGGACAAUGGGCGCAAGCCUGAUCCAGCCAUACCGCGUGGGUGAAGAAGGCCUUCGGGUUGUAAAGCCCUUUUGUUGGGAAAGAAAAGCAGCAGGUUAAUACCCAGCUGUUCUGACGGUACCCAAAGAAUAAGCACCGGCUAACUUCGUG
rnacentral:rRNA from 1 species